rnacentral:lncRNA from 1 species
CGAUGAAGUGGAUGUACAAAAAGCACUAGCUUAUAAUUAUAAUUGGAGCAGGUGAAAUCCAGGAAUCGGUCCGGUAAGUGAGCGACAUUCCCAUGCGAGUGUGGGUGCUCUUCCUUCCUUUCAAAUGUCGCACAUACUCGUACUUAUAUAUAUAUAUAUAUAUGCUAAUCACCACAUUCUAAUCUCUUUUUUCCUUUCUUUCUUCUUCCC